AUACGGAGGAUCCGAGCGUUAUCCGGAUUUAUUGGGUUUAAAGGGUGCGCAGGCGGCCAUUUAAGUCAGCGGUUAAAUCGUGGGGCUCAACCCCAUUCUGCCGUUGAUACUGGGUGGCUUGAUUGCGGUCGAGGUUGGCGGAAUUCGUUGUGUAGCGGUGAAAUGCAUAGAGAUGACGAAGAACACCGAUUACGUAGGCAGCUGGCCAGACCGCAGAUGACCCGCAGGCACUAAAGUGCGGGAAUCGAACAGGAUUAGAUGCCCUGGUAGUCCGCACAGUAAACGAUGAAUACUUGUUUUCGGCGAUAUAAUGUCGGAGGCAAAGCUAAAGCGAUAAGUAUUCCACCUGGGGAGUACGCCUGCAACGGUGAAACUCAAAGGAAUUGGCGGGG
rnacentral:rRNA from 1 species